rnacentral:tRNA from 1 species
AAACUCAUUGCCUUAAGGUCCCAGUAUUGCAAAUACUGGUGUGAAUAUUAUAAUUAUUCUGAGUUUU